CUUCUUGACCACGGGAGUUGUCAAGCAUUAUUCCAAACAAAAUGCACGAAAUGUCAUUUACUCCUUAAUGGACGAGGGCUGUGUUCGUAGAUACUUCUGCCUGCUUUAUGAUUGACAUGUCUGCAUUGAAGAAAAAUGGCAAAUACUUGAAAUAGGGCCUAUGUACAAUUCAUUUUGCUGGUCGAAUGGAAGCUGAUAUUUUGGAGCAUGUCCUUUAUUCACCAUGAAACUACCAGUGUCAGUCUCAAACAGUAGGCACUAUGUGCUGCCUGGUCACCCUGGCUGUUUUGUAGGCUAAAGUGCUACAAAGUACCCAUGACUCCAGAGAGUCAGGCUCUCAGCUUGCCCCCACGGCCUGAUAUUUCAUCCUCCCUGGAUGACAUGCAGAAUAUAAUGCUGUCAUCAGCUGGCAUUGUUUGUCUUAACAGGCAGCGCAGGUGACUUGGAAAGUGCAUCCUGUCCCACCGCAAUCUCAGAAAAUUUACAAUGGCAAGAAUCUUGCAAAAAACCUCCAUGGUGAUCAAACACCUGCUCAAGAAAACAACUGAAGACAACCCGCAUUCUUGGCAGCUCGGAUGCGAUCGCUGAUGACUGCUUGAGCCUCCUCCAUGGUUGUAUCUCUGAGCAUCUUGCUUUAUCUGUGGUUACGAAACACAGCCAGAACAGCAUGUAUACUCCUGAGGGCAAGCUAGACAAAAUGAGCUAUGGAACGUAAACGCAUCAACGGACAUCAGAUUGUGAGCAGUAGGAUUCCUUUUUGGCCAUUACUGAGGUAAGUUGAACAGCGAGGUUUGAGUGAUUUGCUUUUAGCUUUUUGUUUCUGAUAUAUGUGAAAUUGAAUUAUUUCCCGUUUGGCGCUGCAAAUGGGAGAAUCAUGCACGGAGUGCUUUCUGCAACAAAAUGUCAAGGCUCCCAUCACCAAAUUUGAUUCUUGAGUUUGGGUGAAAAUCAGAUGUGAGCUUCAUGCCGUCUGUAUAUACCGUAUGAUCGUUCUUGCAGGCAGUGAUCAGGAAAAUUAUUAUGAGAUUAAUUUUCCCCUUAAUAAUAACAAAGAAAAACAAUGAAACAAAGCGGCUAAGAUAUUUUCCGGCGACAGUUUCGAUGGGUGUGAAGUUUCUUCCUAAAAGUGGAACAAUCUGGAGAAACAAAACACCAGCAGAAUUGGAAUGUCAAUCUGAUCGGUUGGAGGCAAUUACAUCAGUCUAAUCGUCUUGUCGCUAGAUUCAGCCGGUGACAGAUCGGAAUUUCCCCCUCUGAAAAUGAGAAAGUCGCGUGCUCGGGGGAUUCAUAAUUCAGCAAGUUUGCCUCUUUGAUUCAAGGUGUCCUUGUGCCCGUUUGCCAUUGUUUCUUUGAUGAUGCACCACACCUUCCAGUCCUAUUCUGAUCCAACAAACUCUUUAAUUAAAUUGGCCUGCGGUAAGAUAGAAACGUGUGCAUGUCCCCUGGUACAGUGGGACACAUCCGGAAACUGUACAAGACAUGUUCAUGCAGUUCGCGCAUAAUUCCUACGAUAGGCCUAUAGCAAGGAGAUCACUUUGUGAGCAGAGGUGUUUUUUUCUUUUCCUUCUACCUUUGUCGCUCAGGUUCGAAUCCUAUAAGCCCAAACCCUUAAGGUAGGGGCUUCAAUAUAUACUCUACUGUCUUCCCGCGUUUCCCGGGGUAUACGACUCCAAAGUUUUCCUCCAAACUCUAAAACUGAACGUGAAGUGGGUAAAUAUGCAGUAAAGACCACGGAGUUCAUCAAAACCCAAACAGCGCCCCGCAGCUCCUAUUAUGAUAAAAUAUAUCCGCGAUGUAAAUGCACUUCUAACGAUAAGCUUUCGAGCCACAGCGCUCGUGAAUGUACAUUUUAGAAACCCAUGAAUUUCAUCAGCCCCGUGCAUAAACCAUGGUGUGUUGCUCAUUCUUGGAGCAAACACAUAGGCUGAUCUGAACGAGGAUCCGACUUUAACUUCCCGCUUUUCUUCUCAAUAACCCAGCCCCAUGAUAUUGUGUGUGAAAUGUUAAGUUUGGACAUUCUGAUUUCUUGCGCAAAUUAAUUCCCAGCACUGAAUGGCAGUCGGGCCUGGGCGUCCUUUGCUGCAUUUUCCUCUGCAUCUAGCUCCUACAGAUAAUUUCUCUUAUUUGCAAAGACUCGCCCAGCGUAGACCAGAACCAAUUGAGUUAAGAUCCCAUGUACCGUCUCAAAGGUCGAGACGGUUAAAUUUAUUAUGUUGCCACGGAAACGGCUGGCUUCUAUUCUAGUCACAGCUCAGUUCGCCAACGGACUCUUAAGUGUUUUUCAUCUUCAGGGCUUUCUGUAUAUGAGGGUUUUCAAAAAUUGUUUGUCACAUAAAUUUGUGAGGCUUUCUUGAAGCGUAGUGGCGCUUGUCUUUUCCUGCCAGUGAUUUGUUAACGGGUCGCUGAAGGAAUUAGGGGAGCUCUUUCAAGUAGUUACAGUUGUGCUCGGUUUGGUGAAAAGAUCUAUCCCUGGAUGGACCAGGGUAAGAUACUAACAACUAUUGCGAGAGUACCCAAUCUACUUAAACGCGUUCUGAAUACUUUCCCUUCAAAUAUGAUAGGUUUUCACUAAAAGCCCACUUCGCACCCCCGAUGCUAACUGCUUUUAGGCAUUUAAAAUACAGGUCUUCGUAUACUGAUCUGAGAAAAAUUUAUCUGGCCCUUGAGUUCAAGGGUGUUCGUUGCCGUUAAUCCAGCGACAAAAAUGUACACUACAGAAAUGCGUUUACCAAUUUCGUAAACACUUUUUUGCCGUCAGUUUGCAAACUUGCUUGCAUACUAAAAAGCUUUGGGUGCUGAUGCACAGGGUGUAAAUAGCACAUAGAUACAUAUCGGCGUUUAGGGAUUGGACACUUAUGUAGCCUCAAAUCUCGCUUUACAUAGCGGUUCUAGUUGUAAUGUACAUGUCCACUCGUGCUUAUAUUUCAGAGAUACAUGUGGCCCUAAGAAGUGACGUCAGAUGCGAGCCGUCCGUUUUAGCCGGCUUCCCAAUUUUACACUAAAGCUCGUAAUUAUUCUAAAGAAAACACACUUGGGUGCGAAGUCAGCCCACUCGGUGACUCGGACCGCGUAAAACUGGAGUCAAUACAGCACAGGCUACCAUUAAUCACGCGUACCUGUCCAAACAAUGGCUAAUGAGCGCUAAUGGAUAGUCACGCUAUGAUUCAACCAUGGGGGAUGUGAAGAAAAUAACCUGGUAGGCUGGCCCUGUCGAGUCCUCCGCUGUAGGAGGAGAUUUCGGGAAUAAUGUUCGAAACCGCUAUCUAAUGGCCACAGGUCUGUAAAUUGUAUUCACCCUCAUCAGUUAUGUGUGCGUCGUGGCAAGGUCUGAUUUUCAGUGUAUGAGUAAAGCAAUUUGGUUUUUAAUAAUGACGAAGUCGGUAAUUAUUUAUUACAAGACGGCAUGAGUUCAUCUUCAUGCCAUGUUUUCUAUAGACGAGCAUUAUAGAAGAUGAUUUGCAGACAGAAGGAAAGGUAUUGCGAAAAUCAACAUAGUUUUGAAUACGAAAUAUCCAAUGAACAAAAUUCGAUGAUUGUGUUUGUGUAACAAAAAUGGCGCCCCUCCAGUUUUGUUUGUCACCAUUUGCGUUGGAUUUCGAUACGUCCGUCAUCCGUUCAAGUCGUUAUCGUCUUUGUCAAUAUUUUACUUGAUUUGUCGAACGACAACUAUUUAUACUCACUUUAACUGCUUGUUUCAAAAAAUAUCGUCGCUGUCUUUCGUUAUAAAGCAAAUAAAAAGGCAGACAAACGAGUGAAUGUUGAAACCUGUUCAUACUAUUUUCAUUCUGGUAACUUCCCUUGGAUUAUUAUAGUUCCGUCGACAAAGCUGUCGUUCGUCAUCAGAAUAGCCUGCACAGCAAACAAAACAUCUGACAUGAAUGUAUUUUCCCACUGGAAAUAAUAAAUUUCUAAGGGCAAACAAAAUGUAG